rnacentral:rRNA from 1 species
GGAUAACCUGGUUAUUCAGCACUUCUCAAUAAGAACUUGGGCCUCUAAGGGCAUCCGCUCUUGUUGGCCCCGUUACUUUGAGCAAAUUGGAGUGCUCCAGGCAAGCUAUCGCUUGAACAGCUCAGCAUGGAAUACAGAUACGACUUUGGUCCUUCUGUGGUGACAUGGACCAAGUAAUGAUUGAUAAGGACAUAUGGGGGCGUCUGUACUCGCUGGAGAGAGGUGAAAUUCUAAGACCCAGCGAAGACAAACAAGUGCGAAAGCAUUCGCCCAAUGUGUGCCUGUUAAUCAAGGACGAAAGUUGGGGGAUCGAAGACGAUUAGAUACCGUCGUAGUCUCAACUAUAAACUAUGCCGACUGAGGAUCGGAGGUUGUACCAUUACAACUCCUUCGGCACUCCAAGAGAAAUCUAAGUCUCUGGGCCCUGGGGGGAGUAUGGUCGCAAGGCUGAAACUUAAAGGAAUUGACGGAAGGGCACCACCAGGAGUGGAGCCUGCGGCUUAAUUUGACUCAACGCGGGGAACCUCACCAGGCCCGGACAUAGUCAUGAUUGACAGAUUGAGAGUUCUUUCUCGAUUCUAUGGGUGGUGGUGCAUGGCCGUUCUUAGUCGGUGAGGUGACUUGUCUGGUUAAUUCCGAUAACGGACGAGACCUCGACCUACUGAUUAGCUGAUGCUUACGCGUAAGCUUUCAGCUUCUUAGAGGGACUUUGUG